rnacentral:rRNA from 1 species
AGUGAACGCUGGCGGUAGGCCUAACACAUGCAAGUCGAACGGCAGCACAGUAAGAGCUUGCUCUUACGGGUGGCGAGUGGCGGACGGGUGAGGAAUACAUCGGAAUCUACUUUUUCGUGGGGGAUAACGUAGGGAAACUUACGCUAAUACCGCAUACGACCUACGGGUGAAAGCAGGGGAUCUUCGGACCUUGCGCAAUUGAAUGCGCCGAUGUCGGAUUAGCUGGUUGGCGGGGUAAAGGCCCACCAAGGCGGCGGUCCGUAGCUGGUCUGAGAGGAUGAUCAGCCACACUGGAACUGAGACACGGUCCAGACUCCUACGGGAGGCAGCAGUGGGGAAUAUUGGACAAAGGGCGCAAGCCUGAUCCAGCCAUACCGCGUGGGUGAAGAAGGCCUUCGGGUUGUAAAGCCCUUUUGUUGGGAAAGAAAAGCAGCAGGUUAAUACCCCGCUGUUCUGACGGUACCCAAAGAAUAAGCACCGGCUAACUUCGUG